rnacentral:lncRNA from 1 species
UAGUUGACAACAGUAAAAAGAUGGGCGCUAAUUCCAAUACAAUAGGGGUCUAUCAGUGCAAGUCAGCUGAACACCGUGAUUGAUGAGUGGGUAGGUGGGUUAGGUGCACCUCUCGCCCAGUGGGAAGUAAUGAGGCUAGUCUCCCACCCCCCCUGAAUGAAGAAGUAGUGGGGCCCCCUUCCCGCGUAUGCGCCUUUAUUUAGAUUAGAUUCUUUCUAUUUUUUAACAAAAUGGAGAAUCUUUCUAAAAAAAUAUCUCUGGCAAAACGCAAUUCGUCGAUUUUAAUCCAAGGUGCACCUUGCCUUUUUUCAGGUAGCUUUGUUACGCCUAUUCAGCUAGUGGGGCAUUGGUCAUAGCCGAAAUUCGUCGAAGGGAUCAGAUCAAAAAGAAAGAAGAGAAAGAAAGGGGAGUUUUGUCUUUCUUUCAAUCCAAAUAAGAGAACAAAGAAACCACUCUAAAAUGAAAGUUAGAUAAAGAAGUUUCAGUAAGAACUAGCACUAGACUUCUUCCCCCCUUUCUACUUUUCCUCUCUCCUUUUUUUUGUGCUUCCACCCGGGCUUUUCAUUCUGUUUUAUAGAGACCCGAGGAAAUUUUGAUAAUAAUUAAUGUAGAAAGGUGAGGCACUUUCCCGGGCAUACGGAAAAGAAAAUCCAAUCCAGGAUGACGGCUUUCAAAAGACGAGUAAGGGACGGGGAGGGGGAGGCUCUCGAAAGCAAACGAGACUAGAAGGAACAUGGGAAUUAGCACCAUUCCUAUGAGUGCUCUUGUCUCGAAGAGCCAACAAAGGGGCAGCCCUCUCUCUAUCUCGGUCUCGGUUUAGCAUCAUAUAUAAAUCUGGAGAAAAUUUUUAUUGGUUGUAGUGCGGAUUAAAGAGCUGCUCCUCCAUGCUGUGGCUGUGGAGGUGGGGGCUGCCGCCGCCUGAUAGAG